GUUUCAUUCAUCAACGAAGCAUUAAACUGAUCAAAUGUGUUAGUAAAGUCAUUUAUAAUGUAACAAAAGAGUUCUAUUUCAAAUAAAUGCUGUUCUUUUAAACUUUCAUUUAAAUAAAAUGUAUCAGAGAAACUAAAUAUCACGCAGCACAACUGUGUUCAACACUGAUAAUAAUCAGAAAUGUGUCUUGAGCAGUAAAUCAUCAUAUUAUUCUGAUUUCUGAAGAUCAUGUGACACUGAAGACUGGAGGAAUGAUGCUGAAAAUACAGCGGAGCAUCACAGAAAUACAUUACACUUUAACACAGAUUCACACAGAAAACAGCUGCUUUACAGUAGAAUAAUAUUUCACUGUUUUUACUGUUGUUCUGAUCUAAUAAAUGCAGCCUUGCUGAGCAGAACACAUUUUUAAGAAUCAUAAUGACCCCAGACUCUUGAAUGGUAGUGUAUAAGAUGCGUGUGUGUGUGAGUGUGUGUGUGUUACCUGUGAGCGCAGCCACUUUAUCUGCUACUUUCUCAGCAAAGCCGAUGCGUGUGUUGAGUCCGGUGCCCACCGCAGUCCCCCCCGCUGCCAGCUCAUACACACG